CUCACCGUAGCUCAGUUGGCAGAGCGUGGGAUUGUAGACGGUUAACAACUCAAGUUUCCUACGGUCACUGGUUCGAUUCCAGUCGGUGAGA
rfam:Salpingoeca sp. ATCC 50818 unplaced genomic scaffold supercont1.4, whole genome shotgun sequence.